rnacentral:rRNA from 1 species
UACGGAGGGUGCAAGCGUUAUCCGGAUUUACUGGGUUUAAAGGGUGCGUAGGUGGGUAGGAAAGUCAGUGGUGAAAUCUUCGGGCUUAACCCUGAAACUGCCAUUGAUACUAUUUAUCUUGAAUACUUUGGAGGUAAGCGGAAUAUGUCAUGUAGCGGUGAAAUGCUUAGAUAUGACAUAGAACACCAAUUGCGAAGGCAGCUUACUACACAGUUAUUGACACUGAGGCACGAAAGCGUGGGGAUCAAACAGG